AUAGACAAGGCAGGAACAAUGGUGUGAAAAGCGUCCUCCCCGCCCCGGUCUUUUUCCGCAGGCGGAACGCAGAUGCUGGGGCCUUCAGGCGCUGAGGGGACCAGAGAGGGACGGACACACGGCUCGUCAGUUGCCUGGUAACGCCCGCUGGAGGAGUCCCAGUGUAAUAAGGUCCCGGAGAAGUGUCACUGGCCCUGAGUGGGACCCGGUAGCCCGUUCGCUCCGCGCCGGCGGCCUGUCCCCGCGGCUUGGCGGGCUAGGGCAGGGGAAAUGUUGCAGGAGGAGUCGGACCUCUCUCUCAUUAUUGCCCAGAUAGUCCAAAAGCUCAAGGGCUCCAAUUUGUACUCUCAGCUGGAACGGCAGGCCUGGGCCAGUCUUCAGAGACCUGAGAUUAAACUUGAAUCACUGAAAGAAGAUAUUAAGGAAUUCUUUAAAAUAUCAGGUUGGGAGAAGAAACUUCAGAAUGCUGUUUAUAGUGAACUGAGUGUGUUUCCUUUACCUAGUCAUCCUGCUGCACCUCCUGAACAUCUUAAAGAACCUUUGGUAUACAUGAGGAAAGCACAGGGAAGUUGGGAAAAAAGAAUUUUGAAGAGUUUAAAUAGUAUGUGCACUGAACUGAGUAUCCCACUGGCACGAAAGAGGCCAGUUGGAGAACAGAAAGAACUUCUUAAUAAAUGGAAUGAAAUGGGAACUGAUGAACCAGAUUUAAGCCUUUUCAGACCUGUUUAUGCACCUAAGGAUUUUCUUGAGGUAUUAAUUAAUCUUCGCAACCCAAAUUAUGAAAACGGUGAUUCUCUUAGUUUCAGGACUCAUUUGGGUUUAAUUCAAGUUCCUCUGAAAGUAAAAGACAUCCCUGAAUUGAAAGAAUGCUUUGUGGAACUUGGCUUAAAUAUAGGACAACUGGGUAUAGAUGAUUCUACACAAGUGCCUCCUGAACUUUUUGAAAAUGAGCAUGUACGUAUUGGGCAAAAAGUUCUAGCAGAACAAGAUAGUGCUGCUGCUCAACAGUACAUCAGACAAGGAAGUCCCACGGCACUGAGAGCUGAAUUGUGGGCUCUCAUUUUGAAUAUUUCCAGCCAACCUGAGGAUGUCUUGUAUUAUGAGCAGCUUAAGACCAAUGUGAUACAACAUGACCUUUUGGUGGACAGUCUAAUCUAUAAAGAUGUGAAGUUGACAGCAAGCAAUGAUGAUUAUUAUUUUGUAUUUGAAGAUUAUUUAUAUCAGGUAUUACUUUGUUUUUCCCGGGAUACAUCUGUGUUGAGUCACUUUGCAUACAACAGUGCCUCGCCACCAAAAUCAUACAUAAGAGGAAAACUAGGACUGGAAGAAUAUGCUGUCUUUUACCCACCAAAUGGUGUUAUCCCUUUUCAUGGAUUUUCAAUGUAUGUUGCACCACUUUGUUUUCUAUACCACGAACCUUCCAAAUUGUAUCAGAUAUUCCGUGAGAUGUAUGUGCGUUUUUUCUUCAGACUUCAUUCCAUCUCUUCUCAUCCUUCUUUAUGCUUUUUUUCCCCCUUUGGACCUGCUGUGGGUAACAUGACUGCUACUCCAGGGUAUUGUGUCACUCUGUCUGCUGUUUGAAACUCUUCUUCAAACUUACCUUCCCCAACUCUUUUAUCAUCUACGAGAAAUUGGGGCUCAACCACUUCGUAUAUCAUUUAAGUGGAUGGUUCGAGCUUUCUCUGGAUACUUAGCUACAGAUCAGCUCUUGCUUUUAUGGGAUAGAAUCCUAGGAUACAACUCUCUGGAAAUUCUUGCUGUGCUGGCAGCUGCCGUGUUUGCUUUCCGAGCAGUGAACCUGAUGGAGGUGACAUCACUGGCUGCAGCUGAAGCAGUUCUUGCUGACCUUUCUACUUUAAAAGUAAUGCCUCUUCUUCAAAUUUUUCUGUUUGCUACUGUCACCUGAUCUUCUUCACAGUCACUGACAAUACAUCUAGUUUUUCAUUAGAAACAAAUCAUGAACUAUGCAAACUCUGCAUAAAACCAAAAUGAAACUUUGCAUAUAAGCCAAUAAAGAUCAUGUUCCCUCUUCAGUUAAACCUAAGUAGUUUCUCACUUUUUGAAACAAUAACUCUGCACCAAAUAUUGCAUCGCAUGCUGCUGAUUUUCAAGAGAGAAGCAAUAAACACAACUUCUGCUAAAUUGAGCAUUAUAUAUAUAAUAUUAUAAUAUAUAUAUAAUCCUGACUUGUAAAUGGCAUGUAAUAAUAUAUGCAAUAAGAACUAAAGAUACUGUAAUAAACUUCAAGAGGUAAUGUA